GUGCUUCCCUGAGACCUGAUUUGCGAGCUCUUUUUGCUGGUUUUCGCCAGAGGUUUUUUUUUACCAAAUCAAAAUUUCAACCAUUGACGAACACGGGUUGAAGGAAGAGGACGGGGAAGUUCAGUGAUGGUUGGGAACAACAGUGUUAGAUGAUAGGGAUAAUUAAGAGGGCAUAGUUGGGGACUUGUGGUUAUUUUGCACAGCUCUCUACUCUCAGUCCAAUGUUUGGAAAUGAGGAUGCUCCAUGUGCUACCCUAAAGAACUAUUUAUCUUCUCUCUUGACAAGAUGGCCACCCUGGCGGUACCAGCAAGUGUUCCUCCAGCUAUGCCGGACCCAGCCCCAGUGGCAGCCUUAGCCUCGUUCCCAGCCCCAGCGCCAGCACUGGCUACAGCUCCAGCUCUGGCCACAAUGCCAGCCUUAUCUUCAGACCCUACAGCAACAGCGGCUAUGACUGCGGCUAUGACUGCAGCUCCGGGCCAGACCCCAGCCUCAGCGCAAGCUCCAGCGCAGACUCCAGUGCCUGCUCUGUCUGGUCCUGCUAUCCUAGGACCCUUUCCCCGGGGCUGUGUGGUCAGGCUGCACCCUGUCAUUUUGGCCUCCAUUGUGGACAGCUAAGAGUGAUGCAAUGAGGGAGCUGCCUGAGUUAUUGGGACCCUGUUGGGAAUUGUCAACAAACACUCAGUGGUGGUCACCAAUUGGUUUUCAGUGCUGCACAAUGAGUCAGAAGAUGAAGUGGCUGUUGGCAUGCAAUUUGCUAAGAACAUGUAUGAACUGCAUAAAAAAUGAGCUCAUCCUGGACUGGUAGGCUACAGGUCAUGACAUCACAGAACACUCUGUGCUGAUUCAUAAGUACUACAGCCUGAUGGCCCCCAACCCCAUCCACCUCACUGUGGUCAGAAGUCUCCAGAACCACUGCAUGAGCAUCAAACCCUAUGUCAGUACUUUAAUGGGUGUACCUGGGAGGACCAUGGGAGUGAUGUUCACACCUCUGACGGUGAUAUAUACAUACUAUGACACUGAAUGCCUUGGAGUUGACCUGAUUAUGAAGACCUGUUUUAACCCCAACUAAGGGAUCAAACUCUCAAGUGACUUGCAGCAAGUAGGAGGGGCAUCAGCUUGCAUCUGGGAUGUCCUAGGCACAGUGUUGCAAUAUGCAGAGGAUGUACUGUCUGGAAAGAUGUCAGCUGACAAUACUGUGGACCACUUCUUAACAAGCCUGGUUAAGCAAGUACCCAAAAUAGUUACCAGUGAUUUCGAGAGCAUGCUCAACAGCAACAUCAAUGACCUGCUGAUGGUGACCUACCUGGCCAAUCUCACACAGUCACAGAUUGCCCUCAAUGAGAAACUUGUAAACCUGUGAAUGGGCCCCAGGCAGUUCACCUGCCAGUCUAGGUCUCAACCCCAGGACUCAGAAUGAAGUGAGGGAGAAAUGGGUUUUUUGUGGUCUUGAGUCAC